rnacentral:rRNA from 1 species
CACGUAGGGCGCAAGCGUUGUCCGGAAUUAUUGGGCGUAAAGAGCUCGUAGGCGGUCUGUUACGUCUGCUGUGAAAACCCAGGGCUUAACCCUGGGCUUGCAGUGGAUACGGGCAGACUAGAGGCAGGUAGGGGAGAAUGGAAUUCCCGGUGUAGCGGUGAAAUGCGCAGAUAUCGGGAGGAACACCGGUGGCGAAGGCGGUUCUCUGGGCCUUACCUGACGCUGAGGAGCGAAAGCGUGGGGAGCGAACAGG